rnacentral:rRNA from 1 species
UACGUAGGGGGCGAGCGUUGUCCGGAGUUACUGGGCGUAAAGGGCAUGCAGGCGGUCCGACACGUUUUGUGUGACAGCGGGUGGCUUAACUACCCGAGGAUACGAAAGACGGUUGGACUUGAGGACUCGAGAGGGACACGGAAUUCCGGGGUGGAGUGGUGAAAUGCGUAGAGAUUCCGGAGGAACACCGAAGGCGGCAGGA